rnacentral:rRNA from 1 species
UACGGUAGGGCGCAAGCGUUAUCCGGAAUUAUUGGGCGUAAAGAGCUCGUAGGCGGUUUGUCGCGUCUGCCUUGAAAGUCCGGGGCUCAACUCCGGAUCUGCGGUGGGUACGGGCAGACUAGAGUGAUGUAGGGGAGACUGGAAUUCCUGGUGUAGCGGUGAAAUGCGCAGAUAUCAGGAAGAACACCCGUGGCGAAGGCGGUUCUCUGGGACGGUACUGACGCUGAGACGCGAAAGCGUGGGGAGCGAACAGG